GACAGAGGGUGCAAACGUUGUUCGGAAUUACUGGGCAUAAAGAGCACGUAGGUGGUGCGCUAAGUCACGUGUGAAAUCCCCCGGCUCAACCGGGGAAUGGCGCGUGAUACUGGCGGACUCGAGGCGGGUAGGGGUGAGCGGAACUCCAGGUGGAGCGGUGAAAUUCGUAGAUAUCAGGAGGAACACCGGAGGCGAAGGCGGUUGCCUGGCGAUGCAUUGACGCUGAGGUGCGAAAGCGUGGGUAGCAAACAGG
rnacentral:rRNA from 1 species